rnacentral:rRNA from 1 species
CCUACGGGGUGCUGCAGUGGGGAAUAUUAGACAAUGGGCGAAAGCCUGAUCCAGCCAUGCCGCGUGUGUGAAGAAGGCCUUCGGGUUGUAAAGCACUUUCAGUGGGGAAGAAAGCCUUGGGGCUAAUACCCUCGAGGAAGGACAUCACCCACAGAAGAAGCACCGGCUAACUCCGUGCCAGCAGCCGCGGUAAUACGGAGGGUGCGAGCGUUAAUCGGAAUUACUGGGCGUAAAGCGCGCGUAGGCGGUCUGAUAAGCCGGUUGUGAAAGCCCCGGGCUCAACCUGGGAACGGCAUCCGGAACUGUCAGGCUAGAGUGCAGGAGAGGAAGGUAGAAUUCCCGGUGUAGCGGUGAAAUGCGUAGAGAUCGGGAGGAAUACCAGUGGCGAAGGCGGCCUUCUGGACUGACACUGACGCUGAGGUGCGAAAGCGUGGGUAGCAAACAGGAUUAGAUACCCGAGUAGUC